UACGUAGGGUGCGAGCGUUAAUCGGAAUUACUGGGCGUAAAGCGUGCGUAGGCGGUUCGUUAAGUGCGUCGUGAAAGCCCCGGGCUCAACCUGGGAAUGGCGAUGGAAACUGGCGGGCUGGAGUAUGGCAGAGGGGGGUGGAAUUCCGCGUGUAGCAGUGAAAUGCGUAGAUAUCUGGAGGAACACCGGUGGCGAAGGCGGCAUCCUGGACCAAUAUUGACGCUGAGGAGCGAAAGCUAGGGGAGCAAACGGG
rnacentral:rRNA from 1 species